rnacentral:RNase_P_RNA from 1 species
CGAGCCGGCCGGGCGGCCGCGGUGUGGGGAACCAUCGGUGGGUAUCGAUGUGCCCGACACCGAGGAAAGUCCGGACUCCACAGAGCAGGGUGGUUGCUAACGACAACCCGGGGUGACCCGCGGGACAGUGCCACAGAGAACAGACCGCCGACCCGUUGCUCGCAACGGCGUCGGUGAGGGUGAAACGGUGCGGUAAGAGCGCACCAGCGCCGCGGGUGACCGCGGCGGCUCGGUAAACCCCACCCGGAGCAAGGUCGAAGGUCGCACCGUCCGCGGUGCGGCUGCGCAGGUGUCGGAGGGCUGCUCGCCCGAGCCUGCGGGUGGACCGCUCGAGGUACCCGGUGACGGUGUGCCCAGAUGGAUGGCCGCCGCCGACCCCUGUGGUCGGCACAGGAUCCGGCUUACAGGCCGACUCGUUCG